UAAAAGAUAGACUAAAUUAAGUCAUUAGACUCAUAAUUUAAAAAUAAAUUAAUUUUUUCUUUUAA
rnacentral:tRNA from 1 species